UUGCAAAUAGAUGGAAUUACAGCAAAAUGU
rnacentral:piRNA from 2 species